GAAUGGAAGGAAGCUUGGGGAUGCGCCUGCCUGAUUGAUUUUAAUGCCUGGUACUCAGUGCUCUGACUGGAGCCCGGGUUUGAAAGUUUUGGGGAUGUUCAUUUAUUUCUCUCUCUCUCUGUGUCUCUCUCUCUGUCUCUCUUUCUCUGCAGUAUAUAAUGUGUUGUUGCUCGCAUGUAAGGGUAGGGGUGUAAAUAGCAGGCUAAAUGAAAGGCUUAGGAAGUGGUGGUGGUGUUUAGUUGUUUUCUCUCUCUCUCUCUCUCUCUCUCUCUAUCACCUCUCUCUCUCUCUAUCACCUCUCUCUCUCUCUCUAUCACCUCUCUCUCUCUCUCUCUCUCCUCUCUCUCUCUCUGCUCUUGUGUUGAGAGGUUAGGGGGUGCGUGGGCAUGAUGCUGUCACACAGGUGCGGGUCUCCUUGUAUUCUAAUUGCCUGGUGAGGCUUUUUUUUUUUGUGUGUUUUUUCUUUCUUUUAAAUAGUGAAACCAAAUGUGAACUGCGGCCAUUGAGCUUCUCAGUCUCCCAAAGUAGCAAACAGCUUGAGAUAAGCAGCCGAGGAGAAAGUGAGAUGUCUGCGUGUCACUAUGUGACACACACACACACACCACACACACACACACACAGAGACACACACACCCAUCUGCACACCCCACCACAAGCCCCCACUUCUCUAUGUCUGAUAAUUAACGGCCCAUUUUUGCUCUGUUGCAGGAGGCAGCCACGUUUGCCCAAGAGCAAGGCUUUGAGGUGAGUUGACCGACAAUUGUGCCCUCAACAGAUCCUUAAAAAAAGGUUUGUGUGUGCAUGUGUGUUUUUGUAUUUUUUUUUAUUCUUUCUCUUUUUUUCUGCUUAUAAUGAAGUUCUUUUUUGGACAGUGAUUGAUGUGCUAUUAUACUCUCCGGGCCUUGCAGCAGUUGCCAUGGCAACCUGGCAGUCGUCAUGGUUUCUUUGUUCAGCCGGCACUCUCUCGCGCCCGCUCGCUCUCUCUCUCUCCCUCUCUCUUCCCCCUCUCUCUCACUUUCUCCUUCACCCUCCCUCUCUUUAUCUCCCUCCCGCUCGAUCACUCCCUUGCUCUCUCCCGCUCUCUCUCUCUAUCUCUCCUUCACCCUCUCUCCUCUCUUCCUCUCUCUCUCCCUCACCCUAUCUCUCCUUAUCUCUCUAUCUCCCCCUCACUCCCAUCUUUCUCCUAUCUAUCUCUCCUUCACCCUCUCUCCUCUCUCCUCUCUUCCUCUCUCUCUCUCUCUCUCCUCUCUCUCUCUGCCGUGUUGUGACGCACUCGGCUGGGUCUGCACCCAACAUCGCCUACAGAUGUUAUUUAUUGAAUUUUGAAAAGCCUCUCGGGAAGCCAAGGGAAGCUGGGCACGGCUUCAAGCCUUCCUCCGCUGCGGCGGGGGCUUGUCAGGUUGCCGGGUGUAAAAAGCCUGCUCAUUAGUCGCAUUACGCUGGAGGAUGAUACGCCACCCACCUCCUCCACCACACACACACAAACA
ensembl:lncRNA